GUCCACGCCCUAAACGGUGAGUAUUAGGUGUCGGGUGGGAGACCAUUCGGUGCCGAAGGGAAACCAUUAAAUACUCCGCCUGGGGAGUACGGCCGCAAGGUUGAAACUCAAAGAAAUUGACGGGGGCCCGCACAAGCGGUGGAGCAUGUGGUUUAAUUCGACGCAACGCGAAGAACCUUACCUGGGCUUGACAUGUAGGUGGUAGUGAACCGAAAGGGGAACGACCCGGGGCAACUCGGGAGCCUGCACAGGUGCUGCAUGGCUGUCGU
rnacentral:rRNA from 1 species